GGGUCGGUGGCCGAGUCUGGCUGAAGGCGACAGUCUGUAAAACUGUUCUUUUUUGCACGCAGGUACCCUUAGGGAAGCAAGCUACAAAUCCUGCUCGACCCA
rnacentral:tRNA from 1 species